rnacentral:lncRNA from 10 species
AUAGAGUUGAGGGGGCCACCCUCAGUCACCUGAAUUUGACUCUCCCCACAGAAACAACAGAAGAAACAAGUGGAACAUCAGCUGGAAGAAGAAAAGAAAGCAAACAAUGACAUACACAAAGCACAGACGGAGCAGUUAGAGGUGAGUGGAGGGUGGGGAGUUUUCUCCUGUCCUCCGGAGAAUGUUUCUUUCCUUCUCUUUCAGCACUUGCUUGGCUUUUCUCCCAAACGUUCAAUUCCAGACAAUCCACAUCCUCACAUUGGAAAAGGCAGACUUGAAGACCACCCUUUACCAUACUAAACGUGCCGCCAGACACUUCGAAGAAGAGUCCAAGGAUCUGGCCGGCCGCCUGCAAUACUCUUUACAGCGUAUUCAAGAAUUGGAGCGGGCUCUCUCUGCUUUGUCUACACAGCAGCAGGAAGAGGACAGGGUGAGUCCAACCAACUGCCCCAUCCCCUGGCAGCCCGGCUUCCCAGA